CAGUGCAGGAAGGGAGGGCUAUGUGCGUAAAUAUUCCGUCAACAAGGGAUCCAUUGGGAUUGGCUUCACACGGUACCGUUUCAUCUUGUUUAUAAAGAAAAAAAAACCUAAAUUACUAACAAAGGAGAAAAGACAGAAGCGUUCUAAUUUUUCCUUCUUCAUUCGGCCAAUCUCCAUAGCCCCUUAUUCUCAUAUUCUUGCUUCAAUUUGAGCAGUGGUGCAGGGGAGCCAUGGAGAACCUCGAGGACUCUGUCUUCAAUUUCGAAACACCGUCCCUACUUUGAUUGCGACGAAGAAGACGGGUCUCGACUACUAAGCCUGUUGCAGAUAUGAAUGGAGCUAGCUGGAUGAUGGCGCACGUGGGGCUGGCACGGAGGCAGCAGCGGUGUUGGAGGCUACUGAAAGUUGCUGCGGCGCAAGUGACCUAGGUUUUCUGCCGAAAAUUUCAUUGGUGUUUUGGGCUUGGGAUAUUUUGGGCUGUUUGGGUUAGUUGGGUUAGGUUUAGGUUUGGGCUUGUAAUGGGUAUUGGAUCUCAAUGUUUGUAAAAGGGACAUUGGAUUUAUUUUUGUUGUUUUAUUUUAUUUUUGGUUUUAGUUUUGGUGUAGGCCCGGGCACAAAUUGGGUCUUACAUCGACCUCUCUAAAACCUCGAGAUUUGAUUAACACCUACACACAAAAUUAAACAAA